GAUGAACGCUAGCGGCAGGCUUAAUACAUGCAAGUCGAGGGGUAGCAAGAUUGUAGCAAUACAAUUGUUGACGACCGGCAAACGGGUGCGGAACACGUACACAACCUUCCUACAAGUGGGGAAUAGCCCAGAGAAAUUUGGAUUAAUACCCCGUAACAUAGCGAUGUGGCAUCACAUUGCUAUUAUAGCUUCGGCGCUUGUUGAUGGGUGUGCGGCUGAUUAGAUAGUUGGCGGGGUAACGGCCCACCAAGUCUACGAUCAGUAGCAGAUGUGAGAGCAGGACCAGCCACACGGGCACUGAGACACGGGCCCGACUCCUACGGGAGGCAGCAGUAAGGAAUAUUGGAAAAUGGACGCCAGUCUGAUCCAGCCAUGCCGCGUGAAGGAUUAAGGUGCUCUGGAUUGUAAACUUCUUUUAUAAGGGACGAAAAAAGGUCUUUCUAGAUCGUCUGACGGUACCUUAUGAAUAAGCACCGGCUAACUCCGUGCCAGCCGCCGCCGUAAGAC
rnacentral:rRNA from 1 species